rnacentral:rRNA from 1 species
AUUGAACGCUGGCGGCAGGCCUAACACAUGCAAGUCGAGCGGAUGAAGGGAGCUUGCUCCUGGAUUCAGCGGCGGACGGGUGAGUAAUGCCUAGGAAUCUGCCUGGUAGUGGGGGAUAACGUCCGGAAACGGGCGCUAAUACCGCAUACGUCCUGAGGGAGAAAGUGGGGGUUCUUCGGACCUCACGCUAUCAGAUGAGCCUAGGUCGGAUUAGCUAGUUGGGGGGGUAAAGGCCUACCAAGGCGACGAUCCGUAACUGGUCUGAGAGGAUGAUCAGUCACACUGGAACUGAGACACGGUCCAGACUCCUACGGGAGGCAGCAGUGGGGAAUAUUGGACAAUGGGCGAAAGCCUGAUCCAGCCAUGCCGCGUGUGUGAAGAAGGUCUUCGGAUUGUAAAGCACUUUAAGUUGGGAGGAAGGGCAGUAAGUUAAUACCUUGCUGUUUUGACGUUACCAACAGAAUAAGCUCCGGCUAACUUCGUG